UACGGAGGAUGCGAGCGUUAUCCGGAUUUAUUGGGUUUAAAGGGUGCGUAGGCGGAUUUUUAAGUCAGCGGUAAAAUGUCCGGGCUCAACCCGGGCCGGCCGUUGAAACUGGGGAUCUUGAGUGGGCGAGAAGUAUGCGGAAUGCGUGGUAUAGCGGUGAAAUGCAUAGAUAUCACGCAGAACUCCGAUUGCGAAGGCAGCAUACCGGCGCCCGACUGACGCUGAGGCACGAAAGCGUGGGGAUCGAACAGG
rnacentral:rRNA from 1 species